rnacentral:rRNA from 1 species
CGCCCGGAACGGGAAGAACCUUCGGGUUUACGGGGGGAACGCGAAGAACCUUACCUGGUCUUGACAUCCACAGAACUUUCCAGAGAUGGAUUGGUGCCUUCGGGAACUGUGAGACAGGUGCUGCAUGGCUGUCGUCAGCUCGUGUUGUGAAAUGUUGGGUUAAGUCCCGCAACGAGCGCAACCCUUAUCCUUUGUUGCCAGCGGUCAGGCCGGGAACUCAAAGGAGACUGCCAGUGAUAAACUGGAGGAAGGUGGGGAUGACGUCAAGUCAUCAUGGCCCUUACGACCAGGGCUACACACGUGCUACAAUGGCAUAUACAAAGAGAAGCGACCUCGCGAGAGCAAGCGGACCUCAUAAAGUAUGUCGUAGUCCGGAUUGGAGUCUGCAACUCGACUCCAUGAAGUCGGAAUCGCUAGUAAUCGUAGAUCAGAAUGCUAUAUCCC